rnacentral:rRNA from 1 species
GACGAGGGGUGCAAACGUUAUUCGGAAUGAUUGGGCGUAAAGGGUGCGUAGGCGGCUUAUUAAGUCAACUGUUAAAUUUCUCAGCUUAACUGGGAGUAUGCGGUAGAAACUGAUAGGCUCGAGGGUGGAAGAGAGAAGUGGAAUUCUCGGAGUAGCGGUAAAAUGCGUAGAUCUCGAGAGGAACACCGAUGGCGAAGGCAGCUUCUUAGUCCAUUUCUGACGCUGAGGCACGAAAGCGUGGGGAGCAAACAGG